AUUGAACGCUGGCGGCAUGCUUUACACAUGCAAGUCGAACGGCAGCGCGGGGCAACCUGGCGGCGAGUGGCGAACGGGUGAGUAAUAUAUCGGAACGUACUCAAGAGUGGGGGAUAACGUAGCGAAAGUUACGCUAAUACCGCAUACGAUCUAUGGAUGAAAGCGGGGGAUCUUCGGACCUCGUGCUCCUGGAGCGGCCGAUAUCUGAUUAGCUAGUUGGUGAGGUAAAGGCUCACCAAGGCGACGAUCAGUAGCUGGUCUGAGAGGACGACCAGCCACACUGGGACUGAGACACGGCCCAGACUCCUACGGGAGGCAGCAGUGGGGAAUUUUGGACAAUGGGCGCAAGCCUGAUCCAGCAAUGCCGCGUGAGUGAAGAAGGCCUUCGGGUUGUAAAGCUCUUUUGUCAGGGAAGAAACGGUUGGGGCUAAUAUCCCCGGCUAAUGACGGUACCUGAAGAAUAAGCACCGGCUAUCUACGUGCCAGCCGCCGCCGUAA
rnacentral:rRNA from 1 species